ensembl:lncRNA
GCUGGAAUGCAGCUCCCCUGGCUGCAACCUGUGGUGGCAGAAAUAUUUGGAGUGAUCCAUGUACCCUGGGGCCUCUUGCCUCUUUCAGGGCCACAGAGUCUGGCUCUAGAAGAGAGGGGGUGUUGGGCAAGAGUCAUCCCUGAAGCUGCAACUUGCCCACGAUGCAUGGAAUGUACCAUGAAUUUGGGGGGGAAAUAAAGGAGAUUCACAAUGAAUGGCUUCCUCUUGAAUUUUUCCAACACUGAAGAACAGAAGGAGGUGAAGUCUGGGAGGAGGACAGCAAGCAAGAUCUGGAACAGUUACCUAUCGCCUCCCACUGCUUGGGUGCCAUUGCUUCUCCUCUUCCAGUUUCUUAUAUCUGGUUCCCAGCCUGUAACAUUUUAAUCAGGAGCCAAAGGUGCUUUAUGGGGCUCAACCCCAGGUUUCCUCUUUCAGGCCUGACAGGCAAGGUGAUCAGAAGGCUUUUUUGGCUCGGGCCAGAAGUGUCAUGAUGGUCAGGAGUCAAACACGGAAAAGCUCAGCGACAGUCUGUUCCAGGAGGAACCCCUGCCCUACCUCGUCCACCAGCCUUUACCCUGGCAGGUCCAGUGUGUGACCCAGAACCACCGUGCCAGUCGAGAUGCUGGGGUAGGUGUGUCCCUUCCUUGCCCGCGGCCACUGGGGAACGUCAACUGCAGUUAGANCUGCUGCAAGCAGUUCCCUGUCCCAAGAACGUGAAGGGAGAGCUGGGAGUGGAGGAGGCGGAGGACCGUAGUUCCUUUCCUGCUGCAGNGCACAGCUUUGGCAGUCAGCGCUGGGAGCGGUGGUGCGCGGGGGCCAGAGAAGCAGGGCUCCAUCUUAGGGAGUGGGUGGGAGAGCGUGGAGGGUCUGUCCCUCAGAGCGGAGGCGACUGAAGGUUUAUGUCAAGGUGGCUGUGCAAAAGAGCAGAGCAAGUCUGUACCCGGAAUGGAUGGCAGUUGCCCAGGGAGUGAAUGUGCCGCCAGCUCAGAGUCUGUUGUCUUCAGGAUGGCACAGGAUGGCAUGAAGGGAUGUCUCACGUCCUGUCCCCUUCCCUGGGGUGUUGGGGUGACCGGGUGUCAUUCUUUCAGGCCUCUGGCUGGUCUUCAUCUGGACUUUGCUUGUUCUUUGCAGAAAGGUGGGAGUCCCCGACACAGCGGGCGAAGAGGUGACACCAGCUCUGUAGCCAGCAGCAAGAGUGAGGAGUUGGGGGAUCCACCUGAGCAGGCAGCUGUGACCACCCAGACGUACAAUCAAAAAUGCCAUCAGCACUUAAGGCAUGAGAAAUAGAGGGCGACUCCACUUUUCUUGCAGCCCCACAAAUCAAAUUAAGGGGUGUGUGGCUUCUGGAGUGGGGGAGUUAAGUGCAGAAGGAGUAAACAAGCUUGUGACUCUGUUCUUCUACUAUGUUGCAUUCCCAUGACUUUUCGCAGUCCUCCUGUCUUGAUGGGUUACUAACGUUUCUCUGCUUUCUGCAACCUCUAAAGGAGCAAUAAGCAACUCUGGCUACUUAGUGAGCACUUUGGUGGCCACAAGAUAGGCUUUUUAGCACUAGUUGACUGUUAGAAGGAAGGCAGGCAUUUGUGGCCAGAUGUGUCUUAGGUAGGACUUCUAAUGCAGCUUAACAGCAUUGUUACAUACCUGGGAAGCACACUGAUAGAAGAGGAAUCUGAAUGUUUAGCCUCCUUCAGGGUAUUUGCAAGGAAGAAUGGGCAGGAGCAGUCCCCAUUCUUUUGUAGAAACUUAGCUUGGGAAAAUAGCUCGUACUGAUGCUAUGAGAUGUGCUACCAUGUGCCCUAUUCAGCUUUUCUUCUAGUAAGCAGAAGUAGCUUCAUACAGCUGGCUGCCUGACGGCCAUCUCGUAACUGCACUCGCUCGCUCGGCCUUUUUUUGUUUUUAAAAGCAGUAGCAGUCAUUUGCUCCCCCGUUACACCUAUGGUUAGAGCUGGUUCAGCUUGCAGAAGAUAGACAGGAGCAGCCUGCUGCCACUUGUUCCUCACAACCUACAUUUUACUUUCUCAUCUUAAAAGGAAAAUGGCACUUGAACAGAUUGCGUUAAAGUUCUGUUUUUAAAAAGCAGCUGCUUAUAUGUGGGUCACUGCAAAACUCACCUUCAUUCACGCCUCUCAGCUUUGAGACUAGGAAAGUGGCAUCUAAGAGUUAUGGGAUCAUAGCUCUGCCAGUCUCUAGGAGAGGGUGGUAAACCCCAUUCUUAAAGAUGGGAGCUGUAGCUGGACUCCUCUUCCCCCCCCCAAUAGAACAGCUGUUCCAUAGGCAGCAUUGGCAGAGU